GGCUUCGUGCUCGAGUGGUAAGGAUACUUGCCUCUUACCCGGAAGUCUCGGGUUCGAUCCCCGGUCGAGAAGCUA